CGACAUACAAGCAGAGAAGUAAUAUAGAAGGCAACAGGGAAACACCAUCACCAUGGGUGAAAAGAUUGGUGUGGGAUUUGUUCUCUUUGUUGUCUGCUGCACAGCUACCACACCAAUAACCACAAGACCAGCUACAGCUGCUGCAACAAAUACAGUGGCGCCAACAACCACAGCUGCUCCCACAACAACCACAGCUGCCCCAACAACAACCACAGCUUCCCCAAGAACAAUCAUAACUGCCGCCUCAACAACAACCACAACUUCUCCAACAACAACCACAGCUGCUCCAACAACGACCACAGCUGCUCCAACAACAACAACAGCUGCCCAAACAACAACCAC